UACGGGGGGGGCAAGCGUUGUUCGGAAUUACUGGGCGUAAAGGGUUUGUAGGUGGCUUGUUAAGUCAGACGUGAAAUCCCUCAGCUUAACUGGGGAACUGCGUCUGAUACUGGCGAGCUUGAGUGCGGGAGAGGAACGCGGAAUUCCAGGUGUAGCGGUGAAAUGCGUAGAUAUCUGGAGGAACACCGGUGGCGAAGGCAGGUCUCUGGGCAUUAACUGACGCUGAGGAGCGAAAGCGUGGGGAGCGAACAGG
rnacentral:rRNA from 1 species